rnacentral:rRNA from 1 species
CGUGCUUAACACAUGCAAGUCGAACGAGACGAUUGAAAGCUUGCUUUUGAAAGUCGAGUGGCAAACGGGUGAGUAACGCGUAGACAACCUGCCGUAAAGAUGGGGACAACAGUCCGAAAGGAUUGCUAAUACCGAAUGUUGUGGAACUUCCGCAUGGGAGCUCUACUAAAGAUGGCCUCUACUUGUAAGCUAUCGCUUUACGAUGGGUCUGCGUCUGAUUAGCUAGUUGGUGGGGUAACGGCCUACCAAGGCGACGAUCAGUAGCCGGUCUGAGAGGAUGAACGGCCACAUUGGAACUGAGACACGGUCCAGACUCCUACGGGAGGCAGCAGUGGGGAAUCUUCCGCAAUGGGCGCAAGCCUGACGGAGCAACGCCGCGUGAGUGAAGAAGGGUUUCGACUCGUAAAGCUCUGUUGUCGGGGACGAAUGUGGAGGUUGUGAAUAACAGCUUCCAAUGACGGUACCUGACGAGGAAGCCACGGCUAACUACGUGCCAGCAGCCGCGGUAAUACGUAGGUGGCGAGCGUUGUCCGGAAUUAUUGGGCGUAAAGGGAGCGCAGGCGGGAGGUCAAGUCUAUCUUAAAAGUGCGGGGCUCAACCCCGUGAGGGGAUGGAAACUGGUCUUCUUGAGUGCAGGAGAGGAAAGCGGAAUUCCUAGUGUAGCGGUGAAAUGCGUAGAUAUUAGGAGGAACACCAGUGGCGAAGGCGGCUUUCUGGACU